rnacentral:rRNA from 1 species
CCCUGGCUCAGGAUGAACGCGGCGGCGUGCUUAACACAUGCAAGUCGAACGAUGAUCCCAGCUUGCUGGGGGAUUAGUGGCGAACGGGUGAGUAACACGUGAGUAACCUGCCCUUAACUCUGGGAUAAGCCUGGGAAACUGGGUCUAAUACCGGAUAUGACUCCUCAUCGCAUGGUGGGGGGUGGAAAGCUUUAUUGUGGUUUUGGAUGGACUCGCGGCCUAUCAGCUUGUUGGUGAGGUAAUGGCUCACCAAGGCGACGACGGGUAGCCGGCCUGAGAGGGUGACCGGCCACACUGGGACUGAGACACGGCCCAGACUCCUACGGGAGGCAGCAGUGGGGAAUAUUGCACAAUGGGCGAAAGCCUGAUGCAGCGACGCCGCGUGAGGGAUGACGGCCUUCGGGUUGUAAACCUCUUUCAGUAGGGAAGAAGCGAAAGUGACGGUACCUGCAGAAGAAGCGCCGGCUAA